GUAAAAGCUUUGAAAAAGAGGAGUAGAGGAUAAUAAUACCAAGAGAGGAAAGUUCAAUGGGUGAAAGACUUUCUGUAUGAGUUUCCUUGAAGGUAGCUUUUGAGCUUCUUUACUGAAAUAGUAGUAGGUAAAGACGGUUUUCUUAAUCGUUAAAUUUAUAAGAGCCUGUAAUUUAUUUUGCAGGAAAAAAGGUGGUAACGCGCGCUGUCGUCCUUUUA
rfam:Clostridium tetanomorphum DSM 665 contig75, whole genome shotgun sequence.